AGGCGAAUAACUCAAUUGGUUAGAGUUCUGUUCUUAUACAACAGCGGUUGUUGGUUCAAGUCCAACUUCGCCUACCA
rnacentral:tRNA from 1 species